CUCCCUACGGGAGGCAGCAGUGGGGAAUAUUGCACAAUGGGGGAAACCCUGAUGCAGCAACGCCGCGUGAAGGAAGACGGUUUUCGGAUUGUAAACUUCCGUUCUUAGUGAAGAAGAAUGACGGUAGCUAAGGAGCAAGCCACGGCUAACUACGUGCCAGCAGCCGCGGUAAUACGUAGGUGGCAAGCGUUGUCCGGAAUUACUGGGUGUAAAGGGAGCGCAGGCGGGAAGCCAAGUCAGCUGUGAAAACUACGGGCUUAACUUGUAGACUGCAGUCGAAACUGGCUUUCUUGUGUGCAGAAGAG
rnacentral:rRNA from 1 species